UUUUGAAAUCAAAAAAGGGGAAAAUUAGGAACGAGAUCUAGGUUUUCAGAUUUUUGGAUUACUGAGCUUAUGUUGUUGUGUUAUGUGUUGAAAUUCCAGUAUUAGGGUUUGUUGAAAUUGAAUGUUUGUAGAGAGAGAGAGAGGCGAAAAAGAAGGGUAGAGAGAGAUUGAAGAGUUGGAGUGAGUGAUUGCACGAGAGAGAGGAGAAGGUUGUUCUUGGU
rnacentral:lncRNA from 1 species